rfam:Pan troglodytes isolate Yerkes chimp pedigree #C0471 (Clint) chromosome 7, whole genome shotgun sequence.
UUUUCAGUAUAAAUAUAUCCCAUGCAAUGUUUGGGACAUACAUAUACUAAAA